rnacentral:lncRNA from 1 species
UCCAGAGGCCUGCCCCAGUUGGUCAUGACCCAUGACUGGGUGGAUAGGUCUGUGAAACUCUGAAAUUAGUUGGCAGUCCCAGUUGACCUGUAAUCAGUUUUCUACCUUAUUCUGUGUUAGAACCUUCCAGGCAGUCAUUGAAAUUCCUUGUCACCUUGCAUGGAAAUGGCACAGUGUCCUGGUGCUGGGCUGAGCUGCAUUUUCCAGUCUCCUUUGCUGUUGGACGUGUGCUGCCUGGUGAGGGAGUCACAGCCAUGGGACAUGAGAAGUGACACCAAGGCUUCUGAGCAUUAUGUGUGACCUUCCUCUUCACUCUUUUCCCUACAGUGGCUGGAUGCAGAUGAAGAUGAAGCCCUGGGGAUGGGUGUGCUGUGAGUUGAAACGAUCCUGGGCUCUGAGUCAUUGUGUGGAGCAGUCCUACACGCCAACAAAACCACGUGCCUUGGACUGCAAUUUUUACACAUAGAGGGUCUGGAUGAGCAUCAAGACCCAACAUGUUUUCAACACGUGGCUUGUAUGGACAGAAGAACUACAUACCAAAAUCAAGACAUGUGUGGACAUCUGUAACAAAUGUUGGAAAUAGCCUUCACCAGACUUUUCUGCAGACAUUCCAUUUGGGUUUUCGCCAAGAUAUUAAUGAUUGAACAACAACCCGUAAGUGGUUAUCUCAGCGUUCCACUAAAGGAUUGAGACUCUACAUCCAGCUGUCCUUGCGCAAGAAACUGUAUUUGCACUUCAACCUUCAAGAUCUUGCC